rnacentral:rRNA from 1 species
AGCAGCCGCGGUAAUUCCAGCUCCAAUAGCGUAUAUUAAAGUUGUUGCAGUUAAAAAGCUCGUAGUUGAAUUUCGGGAUCAAUAUGUCGGUCGUGCCUUGGUACGUACUGGUAUCAUUGGUCUCUCCUUUCUGACGAACCAUGGUGUCAUUAAUUUGGUGUUAUGGGAAGUUAGGACUGUUACUUUGAAAAAAUUAGAGUGUUUAAAGCAGGCUUUAGCUUGAAUACAUUAGCAUGGAAUAAUGAAAUAGGACGUUCGAACCUAUUUUGUUGGUUUCUAGGAUCAACGUAAUGAUUAAUAGGGAUAGUUGGGGGCAUUAGUAUUCAAUUGUCAGAGGUGAAAUUCUUGGAUUUAUUGAAGACUAACUACUGCGAAAGCAUUUGCCAAGGAUGUUUUCAUUAAUCAAGAACGAAAGUUAGGGGAUCGAAGACGAUCAGAUACCGUCGUAGUCUUAACCAUAAACUAUGCC